rnacentral:misc_RNA from 1 species
UCCUUACUAGUUAGGGUUCUUGGAGGUUUGGUUGCUGUAUGCAGUAGUUUAGGGACAUUUGGGGUUGGUAAUAAGCUUGUUUGAUCCUUCAUGGUAUUUGUUUUUGGAAAAGUAGGUGGAAUAAGGGUUGUAGGCUUAUAACUGGUGUUAAGAGUUGGGAUUAAAUUGGCUUUAGAUAAGGGUUUAAGCUUACUUUGCAAUGCUGCUACUGUUAUUUCUUGAAUCCUGGCCAAAGAAUAAG